AUGCUUACGAGAAAGGAGGUCUUCAUAACGGGCUGCAAUUUAGUAGCCAGCAAGUGUGUACUCCAAAGACUAUUUGUUUUUGCAAUAUCACAAAUAGGUGUCAUGGAAUCUCAUUCAUUUAGCUAUUGUUAUCAACGGGGUUUUAUUUUGUUUACACAGAUUGAAAUGGUAGUUGAAGUCAUGAAUGCACACAUUGCUGAUCAUGAAAAGAAGGUAGGCAUGAAGUUAAUGGAAAUUGAUCACAGAUUUGAUGUCAAAUACCAGACUCUAGGUGAAGACUUGAUCGACAUGAAGACUAAAACUGGCACUAAUCCUAGGUUGUCGAAGGCCGAGGACGAAAUUAAAGACUUAAGGAGGGAACUCCAUGUAUGUCAUACUGUGCGUUUUGUAUUUUUUAUGAAUAUGUUCCUUCAUGAUCAAGUCAAUGUGUGCAAUUCAUCCCUGACAGGAACUCCUAGGGCUAGCCAAGUCACGACAGGGACUUCGAGUACACCAAGUGCAAUACAUGUGACGGAAAACAAUGAGGAACCACAAUUAACUCCGAUGAAGCCUGUCUUUGGUAAUGAUUACAAGUUCAUGCAUGAGGACAUAGAGACAGCCGUUUACAUCCCCGUAACAUACGACCCUGUUGAAAUAGCUAGAAUCGGAGACAUUACCCUCACAGCAGAAAAUCUGAAGCGAAAUUUGGACGACAAAUACAUUUAUGGUGAUGUUAUUAUGGCAUAUGCUAGCAUUAGCCAAAUUGAGAAUGAUACUACCUCAAUCAUAUCCCCUCAAGAAACCGAAAAGCUGUUACAAAUGAAGGGGGUGGUUCCUGUUGGACGUGCAGCCUCAUGGUUAGCUCGUGUAGCAGGAAAAUUUGUAGGGCGCCGAAAGGUGCAUGUCCCACUGAAUGUACACCAAAACCAUUAG
rnacentral:rRNA from 1 species